GCCGCCGCCGCCACUCAGCCGCUGCACCGCGCGUCCUCUCGGGGACAGCGGAGGCGCGUACAGUCGCCGCCGCCGCCGCCGCACCACGUUCCCCACCCGGGGCUGCGUCACCGGGAGACACGUUCCCAGCCAGCAUGGGUCGGCGCCCAGCGGCCCGCCUGAGCACUCCGGCCGCGGAACCAGAGUGCCGCCCUGAGGCCUGCUGAGAACACAACACCCUCCGGACCGCGCCACCGCGCCCCCCUAGCCCGGCGCGUCCUUGCAGGGCUUGGGCUGUCUCCCUCCCACUCUCAGAAAUAAGGGACAUCCCUGGGCAUUCGUGGGCCAACGGCCUUGGCUAAACCGUCCCCACAUUUGUCAGCGCCACAGCAACAUCCUCAGAGUCUGAGCGAACUGCGCCCGGCGCGGGCACGGAGCCUCCCACCGCCAGCAACCUGCGGCCCCGGAGAAGGCAGCGAGCGCAGUGACAGCGCCUCACCGCCACCAGCUCCUGGACCACCAUGGCCAAGAACCGCAGGGACAGAAACAGUUGGGGUGGAUUUUCGGAAAAGACAUAUGAAUGGAGCUCAGAAGAGGAGGAGCCAGUGAAAAAGGCAGGACCAGUCCAAGUCCUCAUUGUCAAAGAUGACCAUUCCUUUGA
rnacentral:sRNA from 1 species